CCUACGGUGGGCAGCAGUGGGGAAUAUUGGACAAUGGGGGGAACCCUGAUCCAGCGACGCCGCGUGAGUGAAGAAGUAUUUCGGUAUGUAAAGCUCUAUCAGCAGGGAAGAAAGGAAUGACGGUACCUGAAUAAGAAGCCCCGGCUAACUACGUGCCAGCAGCCGCGGUAAUACGUAGGGGGCAAGCGUUAUCCGGAUUUACUUGGUGUAAAGGGAGCGUAGACGGUUACGCAAGUCUGGAGUGAAAGGCGGGGGCCCAACCCCCGGACUGCUUUGGAAACUGUAUAACUGGAGUGCAGGAGAGGUAAGUGGAAUGCCUAGUGUAGCGGUGAAAUGAGUAGAGAUUAGGAGGAACACCAGUGGCGAAGGCGGCUUACUGGACUGUAACUGACGUUGAGGCUCGAAAGCGUGGGGAGCAAACAGGAUUAGAUACCCGAGUAGUC
rnacentral:rRNA from 1 species